rnacentral:rRNA from 1 species
UACGUAGGUGGCAAGCGUUAUCCGGAUUUACUGGGUGUAAAGGGCGUGUAGGCGGGACUGCAAGUCAGAUGUGAAAACCACGGGCUCAACCUGUGGCCUGCAUUUGAAACUGUAGUUCUUGAGUACUGGAGAGGCAGACGGAAUUCCUAGUGUAGCGGUAAAAUGCGCAGAUAUUAGGAGGAACACCAGUGGCGAAGGCGGUCUGCUGGACAGCAACUGACGCUGAGGCGCGAAAGCGUGGGGAGCAAACAGG